GGCCGGGUUGCGCGCGGCGCUGCGGGCUUUCGACGGCCGCGGACCGGCCACCGCGUUGUUCGACGCCGCAUCCGCCCGC
rnacentral:tRNA from 1 species